CCUACGGGGGGCAGCAGUGGGGAAUAUUGGACAAUGGGCGCAAGCCUGAUCCAGCAAUGCCGCGUGAGUGAUGAAGGCCUUAGGGUUGUAAAGCUCUUUCGCACGUGACGAUGAUGACGGUAACGUGAGAAGAAGCCCCGGCUAACUUCGUGCCAGCAGCCGCGGUAAUACGAAGGGGGCUAGCGUUGUUCGGAAUUACUGGGCGUAAAGGGCGCGUAGGCGGCCUUGUCAGUCAGAAGUGAAAGCCCCGGGCUCAACCUGGGAAUUGCUUUUGAUACUGCAAGGCUUGAGUUUCGGAGAGGAUGGUGGAAUUCCCAGUGUAGAGGUGAAAUUCGUAGAUAUUGGGAAGAACACCGGUGGCGAAGGCGGCCAUCUGGACGAACACUGACGCUGAGGCGCGAAAGCGUGGGGAGCAAACAGGAUUAGAUACCCUAGUAGUC
rnacentral:rRNA from 1 species